UUGGUACUAGUGGCAAGUAAAGCACAAUCAUAGUUAGUUAAUUCGGAUUCGGCAAAAAUUCGGUACGGAUAUAAUUCGGAUAAAAUUCAUUUUUUAAUUUUUAAAUUCGUUGAAAAAUACGGCUAAAAAAGGGAUUCGUUAGUUAUUCGGAUACAUGAUUUAUACGGAUAUUAUAUGUUCACCAAUUAAAAAUUUGGGAUCAAAAAUUUGGCUAUAUAAUAAAUAUAUAAUAAUUAAUAUACUAUAUAUAUUAUUAUUAUUAUAAUUAUAUAUAGAUUAAAUAUAUUCAAAAUUAUAAUAAACAUAUAUUAAUAAUAUAUAAGAGUUAUAUAUUUAGAAAUAUUAAUAAAUAAUUAUAAAUUUAUAAAUAAAAUAUUAUAUAAUAAUAUUUCUAUAUCAAAAUAAAAUACUCACUACAACAAUAUUGAGCUAUGGAGACAAAAUAUUUAGCGACAAAGUAUAUUUUUGUCGUUAAAAGCAAUUAAAUAGCGACUAAAUUUAAUGUUCGUCACAAAAAAAAAAAGGAGAGAUUUUGUAAAAUGUCAUUAGCGACAAUUUACCUUUAUUGCUAAAACAUAAUCGCUAUUAGUUUAAUGGGGUCACUUUUUUCUUCCCUAAAGUAAUAAUUAAUAUUAGAAUGAUUAAUCGAGAUUUGAAUACUUUAACUAUUCUAGAAAGAUUCUUAGUUGGAUAUAUUUUGUUUGUUUGGAUUUUAAAUAUACUUUGAAUUAGAAAUAUAUUUUGGUUUGUUUGUUAAUUUAUGUAUGAUGCUUGGUGAUAAUUUGAAUUGUGAAAUGUAAAAAAUGUCAUAUAAAUAGUGGAUGGAUAUUGCUAAUAGAUUGAUUGUUGAAACUGCGACCAAACUGUUCGUCGCUAAUAUAUGAUUGCUGAUAUAUAUUGAUAGAUUAAUUUGCGACCAUAUUAUUGGUCGCAAAAUAUUUGUUUAAUUAAUUACUUGUUAUUGAAUUUGCGACAAAUUAGUCUCGUCACUAUGCUAUCAUAAAAUAAUAAAAUAAAAUUAUUAAAAAAAUAAUG
rnacentral:lncRNA from 1 species